rfam:Oryza rufipogon genomic scaffold, chr04
UUUAAGUGUCGUCGUGGAUUUCUGUGAAUAAUGUUUGACCGUCCAUUUUAUUUGAAAUUUUUUAUAGCUAGUAUUUUAUUAUUAUUAAAAUUAAAACAUAAAUAAUUUUUUAUGCGUGACUUAUUUUUAAAUUUUUAAUAAAAUUUUCAAAUAAGGCGGACAGUUAAACAUUAGACACGGAGACCCACAUUUCCACCUAAA